AGGGAAUCUUCCACAAUGGACGAAAGUCUGAUGGAGCAACGCCGCGUGAGUGAUGAAGGCUUUCGGGUUGUAAACUUCUUUGACGAGGGACGAAAGAAAUGACGGUACCUCGAAAACAAGCCACGGCUAACUACGUGCCAGCAGCCGCGGUAAUACGUAGGUGGCAAGCGUUGUCCGGAUUUACUGGGUGUAAAGGGCGCGUAGGCGGGAUAGCAAGUCAGAUGUGAAAUGCCAGGGCUUAACCCUGGAGCUGCAUUUGAAACUGCUGUUCUUGAGUAUCGGAGAGGCAGGCGGAAUUCCUAGUGUAGCGGUGAAAUGCGUAGAUAUUAGGAGGAACACCAGUGGCGAAGGCGGCCUGCUGGACGACAACUGACGCUGAUGCGCGAAAGCGUGGGGAGCAAACA
rnacentral:rRNA from 1 species